AUCUAUCAGCCGGCUGUCGUUCCGGGGAAGGUCGGAAAGGAAAGUCCGGACAGCAAAGGGCAACACACCGGUUAAUGGCCGGCUUCCCGAUUAAAUUGGGAAAGAGACAGUGCCACAGAAAAUAACUGUCCUGGUAGCCUGCUAUCGGGAUGAGGGUGAAAAUGUGAGGUAAGAGCUCACGGCUUUGUUCGGUAACGAUCAAAGCGGGUAAACCUUGUGUGCUGUAAUGCCACGUAUAUUAACGUUUGAGGGCGGCUCGUCCAAAUUUCCGGUUCACCGGAAUGCGUUGAAGGGUAGGCAGCAAGAUUGUGUUAGUAAUAACACAGCCAGAUAAAUGAUGGCCGUCCCGGUGAAUAGCCGGGAUAACAGAAUCCGGCUUAUGGCUGAUAGAUUUUU
rnacentral:RNase_P_RNA from 1 species